UACGGAGGGUGCAAGCGUUAUCCGGAUUCACUGGGUUUAAAGGGUGCGUAGGAGGGCAGGUAAGUCAGUGGUGAAAUCUCCGAGCUUAACUCGGAAACUGCCGUUGAUACUAUCUGUCUUGAAUACCGUGGAGAUGAGCGGAAUAUGUCAUGUAGCGGUGAAAUGCUUAGAUAUGACAUAGAACACCAAUUGCGAAGGCAGCUCGUUACACGAAUAUUGACUCUGAGGCACGAAAGCGUGGGGAGCAAACAGG
rnacentral:rRNA from 1 species